rnacentral:rRNA from 1 species
UACGAAGGAUGCGAGCGUUAUCCGGAUUUAUUGGGUUUAAAGGGAGCGUAGGCGGUCUUAUAAGUCAGUGGUGAAAUCUCGUCGCUUAACGAUGAACGUGCCAUUGAUACUGUAGGACUUGAGUACAGAUGCCGUUGGCGGAAUGUGUCAUGUAGCGGUGAAAUGCAUAGAUAUGACACAGAACACCGAUUGCGAAGGCAGCUGACGAAACUGUAACUGACGCUGAGGCUCGAAAGCGUGGGGAUCAAACAGG